rnacentral:rRNA from 1 species
AGUCGAGCGGUAGCAGGGAGAAAGCUUGCUUUCUCCGCUGACGAGCGGCGGACGGGUGAGUAAUGUCUGGGGAUCUGCCUGAUGGAGGGGGAUAACUACUGGAAACGGUAGCUAAUACCGCAUAACGUCGCAAGACCAAAGUGGGGGACCUUCGGGCCUCAUGCCAUCAGAUGAACCCAGAUGGGAUUAGCUAGUAGGUGGGGUAAUGGCUCACCUAGGCGACGAUCCCUAGCUGGUCUGAGAGGAUGACCAGCCACACUGGAACUGAGACACGGUCCAGACUCCUACGGGAGGCAGCAGUGGGGAAUAUUGCACAAUGGGCGCAAGCCUGAUGCAGCCAUGCCGCGUGUAUGAAGAAGGCCUUCGGGUUGUAAAGUACUUUCAGUAGGGAGGAAGGUGUGAACGUUAAUAGCGCUCACAAUUGACGUUACCUACAGAAGAAGCACCGGCUAACUCCG